AUUAACUGAUACUGUAACAUCUAUUGGUAACUUAAACCAUAACUCUUAUAGGAUUUGUAAAGUUAAAUUUGUUUGCAAGUGUUAUAAAGGCAUCAUAGAUGGAGAUUUAUUUAAAAUGUUUUUUCACAUGUCUUUUGAAAAUCAGUACAAAACGUACAUAUAUGCAAAAUGGAUCGGAAAAAAAUUAAAUUGUAAAAUAGGAAAUUUUGAAAGUUUUGUUUUAGAUAUUGAAAACGUAUGCAAGUUUUUUUAAUACUUUAAUGACAACAUUUUUUUUUUUUUUUUUUUUUUUUUUUUUUUUUUUUUCUUUUUUUUCUUUUUUUUUUUUUUCAUUUUUUUAAUAUUAUAAUUAAUAAGUUAAUGCGUAGUCAUAACGAACAAGUUGAUAAAUAAAAUAUUAAGUGAAUAAAUUAAUGUUCA
rnacentral:lncRNA from 1 species